rnacentral:rRNA from 1 species
UACGGAGGGUGCGAGCGUUGUCCGGAAUCACUGGGCGUAAAGCGCGUGUAGGCGGUUCGGUAAGUCUGCUGUGAAAGUCGGGGGCUCAACCCUCGAAUGCCGGUGGAUACUGUCGGACUAGAGUGCGGAAGAGGCGAGUGGAAUUCCUGGUGUAGCGGUGAAAUGCGCAGAUAUCAGGAGGAACACCAAUUGCGAAGGCAGCUCGCUGGGACGUUACUGACGCUGAGACGCGAAAGCGUGGGGAGCAAACAGG